rnacentral:rRNA from 1 species
UACGUAGGGGGCAAGCGUUGUCCGGAUUUAUUGGGCGUAAAGAGCGUGUAGGCGGUUUGGUAGGUCCGCUGUGAAAACUCGAGGCUCAACCUCGAGACGCCGGUGGAAACCAUCAGACUAGAGUCCGGAAGAGGAGAGUGGAAUUCCUGGUGUAGCGGUGAAAUGCGCAGAUAUCAGGAGGAACACCGGUGGCGAAGGCGGGUCUCUGGGCCGUAACUGACGCUGAGGAGCGAAAGCGUGGGGAGCGAACAGG